CUUCAACCAUCAACCUAAGUGGCGAACUGGCCGCUGAUUAUGGAAAUUUUCUCCAAAAAUGGAAACAAGUAAAUAUAUUUCUUGUGAUAAUUUCGUAAUGAUUUCGCCCUGAACAUUUGACGGUGUGGGGACUUCUCUGUCUGCUUGGCACCUGAAUUGAAGCUCUUGGCCAAGCCUGGCUCUCAGGAGGAAUUCCAGGGGCAAGAGGACACAUUAGUGUUCAUACAAGAAAAAAAAUGCAAAACCAUCUGGCCUGAAUUGUCAUGUCUGGGCAGCCAUGUUGGUGAGAUGUCAUGGGUGUGGCCUCUGACCUUCCUAGGAGACACAGUGUCACUUGAAGAAGCUCUUUACUCCGCCCUCUCUUUUAGGUGGGCAAGGUCUACGACUGCUCUGCAUUGGCUGUGUUUCCUCUCCGUUGAACCGACUUUGAUCCAAGGGGUACUGGAGGUGAUGGAUCUCAGCGAAGACGGUGGCUCCGGUGGGAAUCAAAGGUGGGAGUAGUCUUAGGGUGGAGAAUGAGAAGCUCCCUUCCCUGGAGGAAAGCCACCCGCCAGCAGAGGCAUGAACCUUUGUGCGGGUGCCAAGCUUUUCACCCACUGAGCAUCGGAGGUGGAUGUCAUUUCCUUCACAGGUAAGAGCAAGAAGUGGUGUGUGCCAGGGCCCUGUGAUUUUUGGGUGACUCAGCCUGUGACCUUUCAGGAGGAAUCUCAGAGAGAGAAGGUGGGGAGUCUGAACUUGCUCUGUCGGAGCUUGAGAGGUAGCUGUUGCCGAUGCUUCUUCACAAUUCAGAUGAAGAGGGUUCAGUUAAUCCUACCUCUUGGCUCAAGGAUAUAGGCAUCAUCGGUCCCUGCAAAACACCUUUUGAAGAUGUAUUUACUUCCUUAUUCCUGUUUCUCUCCAUUCUUAAAUUCUAUUUUCUUGUCCAAGCCACAGUAAUUCUUAGGUGUGUUGUAUGCCUCCUUUUAUUUGCAUGCUUUGUUGCAAAAGUGAUUUCUUUGCAGUAUUAAUUUAUGUCUGUGUUCUAUCUCAUUGUUUCUCACUUUCCCCCUUGUUUAUUUUUUCCCCAUAACUGCUCCUAAAAUCCAUUCAUGCUGCUAUACAGACCUCAGUUCUGCUGUGUAGUAAGUAUUCCCUGGAAUUCCUGAGUAAUAAUGUAGUGAGUACCACAUUUAAUACUCAGUCUUAGUGAGGGGAACUAAGAUAACCUUUAACUCUUACCACAAGUAACUGCAGAUGUCUCCAGAGGAACUGAAUGAGACUUUGAGGGGAUGUAUCCUAUAGAGGACUUUCUGUAUGUUCUAAUGAACUUGAUUCACCAGGUCGGAGUGCUCCCCAAGGUGACUCACCAGGCCAGAGUGCUCCCCAGGAUGCUUGCCAGUGCAGACUUCUCUCAAGUCCUCCGUCUCUCCAGCAACGUACAAGAACAGUCACAUCUCACAUCUGCCACACUUGGCGUCAUGCUUCUUUCCAUAUUUUAUCCAUAAAAAAGGCAUGCAGUAGCA